GUCACCCGGGACCCGCAGCGGCUGUCCGAACACCAGCUCGGCCGACGACGACCGGAGGUCCUCCUUGGGCACUGUCCUGAGCCCCAGCAUGACCCACGGCAGUUUGUCGAGCCAGUUGCCGUCCGUGAGGCUGGCUCGAAGGGCGGCCUUCAUGGAGCGAUGAAAGCGCUCAACAAGUCCGUUAGCCUGCGGGUGGUAGGCGGUAGUGCGGUGGAGCUUGACCCCCAGAUUCUCCGCCACUGCCGCCCACAGCCCCGGAGUAAACUGCGGGCCACGGUCAGAGGAGAGGUCAGCAGGAGUGCCGUAGCGGGAGACACACACCGCGAUGAACGCCCGGGCCAGGUCGGGGGCUGUCGUUGAGGAGAGCGGGACUGCCUCCGGCCAGCGCGUCGUCCUGUCCACCAUGGUGAAGAGGCGCUCCGAAGCUGAGAUGGAGCGCCUGUAGUUGGUGUCCAACCGAGAGAUCCUAGCACCGAUCCUAGCUAGCAGGUCAUCAAACUGGGCCGGAGUCAGCCUCAAAUAGCGCUGGAAGCGUUCGCCAUCCAGACGGAGCUCCUGCAGAAGACGGUGAAAUUCACCGAGCUCUGUACGGCUCCGAAUGGUCUCAUGAACCCAUAAACGACGACGAGCAUUCUGACGUCUCUCCCUCUUCCACAACAGCUGCUAAUAUAAGCAAAGAUAUGCUGCCAAGCCUCACAAAGGAGGACUUGCGUGACCUUUUUCCGGGUCCAGAACACUUCCUGAGAAGGAGAACCAUUUGGAGACUCAGUCAUGAUGAAAAUGAGGGUCAAGAAUCAGAGCUGCAUAGACCAGGAAGCAGUGAAUUCAGCCCCACCCACCCACCUCCUCUUCCCCAACAUCCAUUUCCUUCCUCUUUGUCUUCCUCCAACCCUCUCCCCUCUCCAUCCCCCCAUUUCUUCUCCAUCCUCCCUCCCCUCUCCAAGCCCAAGACCCCAACAUGGCAGAACGGUACAACUUGUCAGCCCAACGUAUGUCAUAUACACAGACACAGAAUUAGAGCUUGCAAGGAGUGCCUUCUUUGACCAACAGCGUGCUGGAAAAGAGGGAGACUUUAGCCUGUCCAAAGAUCUUCGUUGCAGAUUAAUAAGAAAUACCAUCACGAGCAUGAUUGCAAUCAAAAGAGCAACAGAGGAUGAUUUUAAAUAUCCAUGCAACCGGGAGCUCACAUUUAUGGCAAAGCGCCUCGUGGACUACUACCCAAUGCUUCGGGACCAAUCUGCCAAGACUGGGGCUGAGUGGGAAUAUCUGAAGAAACAGCUCCUAAAAAGAGUCCAAAAUGUUUCAACUCCUAAAAAGCAGCAGGGAGCAACUCCUUCGCGAAAGAAGGCACGGAGACUUAGCUUUCAGUCCAGACAGGAGACGUCCGCUGAUGAGACUGAUGACUCCACCACCUCUACUGUGAUCUUGGAGAGAACACCACCACGCUGUAGCACUCCACAGAUUGAACAAUCGUAUCAUUAGACACUUCGGACAGCCUGCAGUAUCAGGCAAGACAUUAUAAAACUCUGCAGGACAUGUAUAAAACCAAGGCCAGGCCAAACAAGAAGGAUGUUGCCCAGCUCCUAGACCUUGAAUUCCAGUCAAGACGCGCCUUCAUUGACUCCGAUGUGACUAAGGAGCAGGACAGGCCUGUCAAGAUCCUUGAGGCGUAUCCCUGCUUUGGAGAAUUGGACAAUCUAAUGGAUGAACUCCGGCGGAUCCUCGAUCAAGGGAACCCCCACUUCCUACCUGAACUAAAUACCCGGCGGGCAACCUUUUUUGAGAGGGCACAGUUUUAUGGCGUUUUCAAGAAGGUCAUGAGGCCUCCACUGUUGGACAAAGCACAGCAGUCAAUCGCCCUGAUGAAGGCAUUGCCAGACUUAUUUCCAUCACCUGUGGCUCCACCCAAGAAGUUGGGACAUGCAAGUGAGGCUUUGCUUCACAUCCUUAAGCCUACAGAAGACCCCAACACCAUUCUACGAGCAAGACCACUCUCCAGCCCGGUCGUUGUUGUCAGUGAAACUAACUGCAUACUAUCUAUUGGAACCACGCCUGUGUUGACUUUCCCAAAAGAGGAUAUCGAUGCUAGCGUAAUGUAUCUCAUGGCAUGCUAUUACAUCUUUCCCUUACAUAUCCCAAGUGCGUUGCCACACUCAUGUCUGUGCUGCAGACCGAGGUUCUCCUGGAUGCCAUCCACGACCAGGACAUGACUUCCUCAUAUAGGAAGGCUAUAGGCGAGUGGAAGAAAUUCUUAGCUUAAAGUGGAAAUGAGAGUGGAUAAUCUUGUUUUGGUUUGUUUUGAGGCUGUGUUUUUUUUUUCACUUUUUAGUUUGCUGUUAAGUUCAGCUGCAUGACCUUCCCAAAAGAGGAUAUUGAUGUUAGCACAAUGUAAAAUGGCAUGCAUUAUCUUUCACCUUAGAUAUCCUAAGUGUGCACACUUCUGUCUGCGCAAGUUCUGUUGGAUACUAUCCACUAGAAUAAAUAAUUCUUAAAUUGUUCUCAUUAUCUAGGCGAAUAUACUUGAUUGCAGUGUAUGUUGCCUAACAUAAGUCCUUGUUUGGAGCUGAUAAUACUAGCAUAUGUUGAAUAAAAGGUAUAUUUUCCUAUAUAUCAAGAAAACUAUUCUUAAAUUUGGUUUGCUUAUCUAGACAAAUGUACUUGUUUGAAGUUUGGCUGUACUGACUUUAAGAUAUAUUUACUUGCAUGAAACCUUAUUUGAAGAUGAUGGCACUAGCAUAUGCUGAUUUUAAGCACAUUGUCCUACAUAUUGAGAAAAUAAUUCUUAAAUAUUUUCCUUGAACCAAUACAAAUCUACUUGUUGUUAGUCUAAACACACUAGUUUUAAGAUAUCCCUGGGUUUUUAAGGCUAGAUAUAUUCACUUGUUUUUAAAAAUCUUGUUAAGUCAAAUCUUCCUGUUCUGUUGGCAGAUAAUUUUGCUUAUUUUAAGUAAUAUAUUCCUCAUUUUAUUACUUUUUUUUCUUAUUUUUUCGCUCCAAAAUAAGUAGGCUACAGGCAAUAGGCAGAGAUACGGACGCAGUAAGGUAUUGCAGUAAUACGGGUGAUUGAAAUUGACAUUUAAACCACCAAAGUGGUCCAAGCACAAUGAAAACAGUUCAUACUUCAAGUCACAAUGAUGAGAUGAGAUGAGAUGGCGAGUUCGAAUGGAUAUUAAAACGCAGCAUUAUGCCGCUUUUCCACUGCAUGGUACCAGCUCGACACGACUCGACUCGACUCGACUCAGCUCGCAUUUUUUGCGUUUCUACCGCGAAAACAUGGUAUCUGGUACCUGAAGUGGCUGCUUUUUCUAGUACCGCCUUGCUCUAGGUUCCAAGCGGCUGAGCCGAUGCUAAAAGGUGACGUCGGCAGACGGCCGGCCACUGAUUGGCCAGAGAGUGUGAUGAAGUCACGAGAGCGACAUGGCAACCAUGCUGGUAACAGCCAUAGCAGCGCCGCAGCCAACAUAUUCCACUUCUUCAACUUCUUCAACAUGCCAGCUAAUAAUAGUAAUGUUAUCGAUGUCCUCCAUUGUUGUUAUGUGGGUUAUCUCCAUGUGUGGGUUGCGUAGGUGUUGUUUGCGUCGCGUACAAAAAUACGUCACGGCCCUUUCGCGCAGCCGACCCCGCCCACGUCCAGGAGGUACUAUUUGCGGUGGAAAACGACCCGUGCUGCUGCCGUGUCGAGUCGUGUCGAGUCGAGUCGAGUCGAGCUACAUGUGCGGUGGAAAAGCGGCAUUAGUUUCUGCUGGUGAAGUCCCACCCACUGGCACUGCUCUAAUAGGUCUGUAGCGUCAGUGGGCCCCACCCCCUAUAGGGGGGUGGGACUAGUGCUUGUAGUCUCACGAGAAUCCUCCCUCUUACACUUCCUAUUUACUUCUACGCAAAAAUCGUCAUAUUGUGUCAUCUUAAACAGGAAGUGUUGGAGAUCGAUAUGGAUCUCUCCAGUCUCUCCAGAAAAUAAGGGAAUGAUGCACGACCAUUCAAAAAUAUGAGUGGGUUUCUGACGAUACAAAGCUCAAUGGAAAUGGGUGAAGUUUCCCUUUAAGCAGUGUGACACUUGGAGCUUGAAUGACGGAGCACAAGUUGGCACAAAGCACUCAAAACUGCAAAAAGACAUUGUUCAAUUGUAGACUUGGAGCUUGCAUAACGGAGCACCAGGCAUAGUUUAAUAGUGCAUUUCUUUUUUGAACAGCACAUCCGAUCAAUGACCUCUGUAAUUUUUGUACAUUUAAAUGUAUGCCCAUCACUAACUGAGUUUAGCUUUAUCUAUUAUUACUUUUAUUUCCUUCCCUUCUUUUCUUAAUGUUAUGUGUAUUUUGUUUUUAAGAUAAAUCAAGAGAAACCCAAACAUAUCUUAUGGUCUCGUAUGUAUGUAAAUGUUUCAUAUAUUUAUGUGUUUUUUUCAUGUUGUGACUGUCUGAGUUUGUGAUGUGAGUCUUUGUUCUAUGUUCCCACUCUUGGCCUGCACCUUGACGUGAUCCCAGUCCAUCAUGCUCCUGUACUUGUCUGCCGUGCCACCAUCAUGCCUCAUGCAUCACCUCUCAGCGCCCUGCCCAGCUGCAUCUUAUUCCGUUACUCCAGCUCUUUCCAGCUCCUUCACAUAAGUGACAAACACGCUCCACCCAAGUGUUUUUAAUAUUUUAUUAAUUAUGCUUAAGGUGUGCUUAAGUGGCCUGAAAGGGGCCCAUCAAUAAAAUGCUUUUUAUUGAUGUAACAUUAUGGCUCCAUCAAAAGCAAAGUACACCUGCCAUUUAACUAUCAUUUAUACUAUCAUUUAUACUAUCCUAGACAUCUUUAAUCGUAUUUACAUAGGCCUACAGUAGGCCUGAUUUCCUCUGAAUGUUUAAAUAAAAAAGUUCCCUGUCCAUGUCAGAUCCCUGUCCAUCAUACUCCUGUUGUUGUCUUCCUGCACACCUGACUGCCUCCUCCAUCGAUUGCGGCCACAGCCCUCUCCCUGUACAAUAUUUCAUGUUAAAUACAUUUCAGGAUCAAGUUUGAGAUUCAGUUUCAGUAUUACUUGUUUUUGAAACCUGACGUGGGGCUGGCACCGCCACCAUCAUAUCAGUCUUAUUUAUAGCACCCACACAGGUGUGUGCCGUCCAUAUGGGCAGGUGGGGCGGCGAACUCCCUGCAUGCUCCCAAAAAAAUGUGUUCCUCAGUAAAUCAUUACUCCAAGUUGAUAAUGUGAUUGUCAGAUUAACUAUCUAUAGUUUCUGUAGGCUUUCCGACUAUUUUUGGUCUGUUGAUAUCAAAUUGAUGGGGGCGAUUCUAGUUGAGUUUAACGAGUCAUGCAAUGUGGGGCAGGGGAGCUCAACGACCGUGUCCCUCCGUAUGUUUCACGCAUAACCCGGCAGGCUGCAAUAAGAAUUGCAAUCCGCACUAUAAGACGCCCAUAUGGUCGUAAAGUAGUCUGCCCCAUGGUCAUAUUGUAGGACUGUUGUUUAAAAUCGAAUUACUAAGCCUGUAUCUUUCGGCAUUGAAGCCUAUUUAUUUAUUUAUUUCAGCAGGUAUUAAAAUUGCAUACCUGAUUUCAUACCUGAUUUAAACAGCUGUUAUUGAGAAAUAUCUGAUUUCAAAACUGUUGUUAUUGAGAGAUUUGCA
ensembl:lncRNA